UGAUACCACGGGUGGAAAAUAUAAAAAUAUUUUAUGGGUGCUCUGUCUCUUUGUGUAUGGGAUUGCGUGCAUGCACAAUCAGCUGUCUCUCAGGAAAAUUAAAACCGCAUCCAGGGAUGAAUAUUGCAAACAUCGAGCUCUGUAAACAACCAGCAAUGACAACAUAUUCACUUGCUGUGCAUGGGAUAAAAUAGUCUUCUGCUUUGAUUUUUCACUAAAUCUUUGCCGGGUUUGGGACACUUCAAAUUUGAAUGAGGCUCUCCUCACUCCACAACUAUUAAAUGAAGAUUAAUUAAAUGAGCAAGAGGAGAAAUUGCAGGUAAAUGAGGAAGGAGAGUUAUGAGAGAUUAUUCCACAGCCUCUGAAAUAUUUGGCCUUCCUAGCAGCAAAACAGGAGAAACCUUUUCAUCUAUCCCGCCUUGGAGAGUUUGCAGCCUGGAUGGAGAAGGCAAACAGGACCACACAGGAGAUCCGUAAAAUGCAGAGUGAAGACAUCAGCAUUGGAAUUUGUGAUGAGCACUGAGCACCUUAGGAGAACUUUCCAGGAUGGGAAAGAAGAGCUCAAAUGCCUCAAAUUUCUUGAAAGCUUUUAUUUCACGUACAACUGAAAAGCUUUAAAAAUUAUGGUAGUGAGUAUUGUGGUUUUCCCUGGCCUGCCCUUUCUGGCUGCUUGGAUAGACAUUAAUCCUACAUUUCGUCACAGUCAGACUAAAGGU